GACGAAUUCUGGCGGCGUGCUUAACACAUGCAAGUCGAACGGUAAGGCUCCAGCUUGCUGGGGUACACGAGUGGCGAACGGGUGAGUAACACGUGGGUGACCUGCCCUGCACUUCGGGAUAAGCCUGGGAAACUGGGUCUAAUACCGGAUAGGACCGCACCGUGAGGGUGUGGUGGAAAGUUUUUUCGGUGUGGGAUGGGCCCGCGGCCUAUCAGCUUGUUGGUGGGGUAAUGGCCUACCAAGGCGGCGACGGGUAGCCGGCCUGAGAGGGUGGACGGCCACAUUGGGACUGAGACACGGCCCAGACUCCUACGGGAGGCAGCAGUGGGGAAUAUUGCACAAUGGGCGGAAGCCUGAUGCAUCGACUCCGCGUGGGGGAUGACGGCCUUCGGGUUGUAAACUCCUUUCACCAUCGACGAAGGGUUUCUGACGGUAGAUGGAGAAGAAGCACCUGCUAACUUCUUGCCCAACAGCCGCGGUAAUACUUAGGGGGCGAGCCGUUGUCCUGAAUUACUGGGCGUAAACAGCUCCUAGGUGGUUUGUCGCGUCGUCUGUGAAAUUCCGGGGCUUAACUCCGGGCGUGCAGGCGAUACGGGCAUAACUUGAGUACUGUAGGGGAGACUGGAAUUCCUGGUGUAGCGGUGAAAUGCGCAGAUAUCAGGAGGAACACCGGUGGCGAAGGCGGGUCUCUGGGCAGUAACUGACGCUGAGGAGUGAAAGCAUGGGGAGCGAACAGGAUUAGAUACCCUGGUAGUCCAUGCCGUAAACGGUGGGCGCUAGGUGUGGGUUUCCUUCCACGGGAUCCGUGCCGUAGCUAACGCAUUAAGCGCCCCGCCUGGGGAGUACGGCCGCAAGGCUAAAACUCAAAGGAAUUGACGGGGGCCCGCACAAGCGGCGGAGCAUGUGGAUUAAUUCGAUGCAACGCGAAGAACCUUACCCGGGCUUGACAUAUACAGGAUCGCGCCAGAGAUGGUGUUUCCCUUGUGGCUUGUAUACAGGUGGUGCAUGGUUGUCGUCAGCUCGUGUCGUGAGAUGUUGGGUUAAGUCCCGCAACGAGCGCAACCCUUGUCUUAUGUUGCCAGCACGUUGUGGUGGGGACUCGUAAGAAACUGCCGGGGUUAACUCGGAGGAAGGUGGGGAUGACGUCAAAUCAUCAUGCCCCUUAUGUCCAGGGCUUCACACAUGCUACAAUGGUCGGUACAGUGGGUUGCCAGUCCGUGAGGGCGAGCUAAUCCCGCAAAGCCGGUCUCAGUUCGGAUCGGGGUCUGCAACUCGACCCCGUGAAGUCGGAGUCGCUAGUAAUCGCAGAUCAGCAACGCUGCGGUGAAUACGUUCCCGGGCCU
rnacentral:rRNA from 1 species